UACGUAGGGUGCAAGCGUUAAUCGGAAUUACUGGGCGUAAAGCGUGCGCAGGCGGCCAUGUAAGACAGAUGUGAAAUCCCCGGGCUUAACCUGGGAACUGCAUUUGUGACUGCAUGGCUGGAGUGCGGCAGAGGGGGAUGGAAUUCCGCGUGUAGCAGUGAAAUGCGUAGAUAUGCGGAGGAACACCGAUGGCGAAGGCAAUCCCCUGGGCCUGCACUGACGCUCAUGCACGAAAGCGUGGGGAGCAAACAGG
rnacentral:rRNA from 1 species